rnacentral:rRNA from 1 species
CUGGCUCAGAACGAACGCUGGCGGCAGGCCUAACACAUGCAAGUCGAGCGCGCCCUUCGGGGUGAGCGGCGGACGGGUUAGUAACGCGUGGGAACGUACCCUUUGGUAGGGAAUAGCCACUGGAAACGGUGAGUAAUACCCUAUGAGCCCUUCGGGGGAAAGAUUUAUCGCCAAAGGAUCGGCCCGCGUUAGAUUAGGUAGUUGGUGGGGUAAUGGCCUACCAAGCCUACGAUCUAUAGCUGGUUUUAGAGGAUGAUCAGCAACACUGGGACUGAGACACGGCCCAGACUCCUACGGGAGGCAGCAGUGGGGAAUCUUGGACAAUGGGGGCAACCCUGAUCCAAGCCAUGCCGCGUGAGUGAAGAAGGCCUUAGGGUCGUAAAGCUCUUUCGCCUGUGAAGAUAAUGACGGUAGCAGGUAAAGAAACCCCGGCUAACUCCGUGCCAGCAGCAGC